GGGGGCGUAAAGGUUUCGACGAGGAUAUUGCAGAAGUGUAAGCGAGCCAAUGAGCCGGUCAUUGUAAAAAACAGGCGCCUAAAUAUAAACGCAAAAGACAAUUCUUCUUACGAAAUGGCGUUUGCUGCUUAAUCGGCAGUAACGUUUCGUAAACCCGCGGCACCACUUGCCGCACGUCCCUUCGGGUUCACCUGCUGGCCCGAAGCUGACGUUCAUGAAAGCAGGGAUCUGUCUUUGGAAGUUGUCCCGAUCCAUUGACAAUUCAGGGGCUGGCCGAUGCAAGCUGGGCUGUCAGAAGCCUGCAUCGGUGAGAAUCUUCUGGCAGAUGCGCUCGGAGAAAUCACUUUGAAUGUAUUUUCGGACGUGGGUUCGACUCCCACCGCCUCCACCA
rfam:Pseudoramibacter alactolyticus ATCC 23263 genomic scaffold SCAFFOLD1, whole genome shotgun sequence.